GGACUGUGGCUCAAUGGUAGAGUACCUGCCUAGUACAUGUGAGUCACUGGGUUCGAUCCUCAGCACCA
rnacentral:tRNA from 1 species